rnacentral:lncRNA from 1 species
AGGGUUUUUUUUGGGCCGAGAGCAAGCAGGGAACUCGGGUCACGGCGGUGGAGAAGCUCGGUUUGACGAGAUCCGAAAAUGCUUGGGCUAAGGCGGCUAGGGCACGAUUUUACGGUGUAGGUGGGUAAAACGAGGCGUGGGGCGUUGCUAGGAGCUUUAUAGGGGCGCUUUAGCGGAGAAAUCCCAGGGUUUUCGGGAUUGAGACGGAUUCGGUGGCGAGUUCCGUCCGAUUACGCUUGGAAGAAGAAGGGAAAAGGUGCUGCUAGGUGGGGCCCAGGUGUCAGCGAGUGCCGCAGCGGGUCCCGGCCGUCAGCGGUAGAAGGAGGGAGAGGAGGGGCGCAUGCGGGUCUUCGGCUUCUGGGCCGUUUGCAAGCUAGGUCGAGGCUGGGAAGCUAGGGCUCGGCCACUGGCCUAGGCUGAGAGCAGGUAAGCCUUCUCCUUUUUUUUCUUUUCUUUUCUUUUUCAAAUCAUUUUCCAAAUAGAAUUUUGAACACAAAUAAAACCAAACACAUAGUAAAAUAAAUUAAUAUUCCAGCAUGUAUGCAAAAGCAUGUUCCUAACCUUAUGAUAGAUUUUAUUUUCCACAAAAAUUAUUUAUUUACUAGAUUAAAUGCUCACCAAAAAUUGCUUAAUUAAAUCCUAUUAAUUGAAAAUCAGAUUUUGGGUGUUAUAGGACCGAACAUGCUUGUCCGAUUCCUCCUUAUUGGGCCGAUCCUCAUGAUAUGCUUUAUCCUUUUCUUCAUAUGUAUUCCUGACUACAAUCAAAAUAGAGCACUUAGGUAGUAUAAUAUUCUCAGAAAUAUUGAAAUUGAAAUCAAUUAGGAAUGAAUUCACCUGCUCUUGUAGUUUCUUGGCGUAACUUCUUGUAAGUGGCCCUUGAGUUGUAUCUUUUAAGUUGGAUGGUGGAUGAUUGACAUGAGAAAGAUCAUGCACGGUUGGGAUAUCCUCAUCAUCCUCCUCCUCUUAAAAAGGAAUCAACCUCGAUGACUCUGAAUCUUCUAGUCUAAACAAUGGUGUUAAGUCAGCAACAAUGAAGGUUGUGCUAACACCAUACUCCUUAGAAAGUUCAAUCUUGUAAGCAUUAUCAUUGAUCUUGACCAGCACUUUGAAUGGUCCAUCUGCAUGUGUUUCCUGUAAGAACAAGAGUCUAACAGAGCAAUGUGGAUCACAUAAUUUGUUAGCUCUAAACAAAAAUCCAUCAUGUAUAUGAUAUUUUUCUCAUCCUUUUCUAGCUAUACAUUUUGCAUAUCGUUCUAAAAAUUCAUGAUCAGCAGGGUAUAAUUCCUUUAUGUUUUCAAUCCUAGGCACUUUUCCUUCAAGUUGAUUUAGCAAAACAUUUUACGGGUUA